UGGCCGUCGGGUCGAUCUCGCGGGUCACCACCAGGUACUCGCGCAGCGCGAUGGCGUGCAGGUGCUC
rnacentral:sRNA from 1 species